GGAGACAAGAGCUUCUUCCUUGUGGGCUCUGCCUACAAAGGACAAGCACUUAAUGCACUGCACGCUGCCAACAAAUGAUUUGUAUUGGGGGGGGGGAGUUUGCACAGAAUUGACAUUGGGCAGCUUUGGCCUGCCUAAGUCUUGUGUGCUGGGAGUGCAACUUGCCUCCAGCAAAUUUCUCUUGAUGUGCAGAGUUUCAAGCAGAAACACUGCACAUCCAGACUCCUACCACCAUGACCACUUCAAAAAGCAAAAGUGGUCAUGGUGAAGUAACCCUUUAAACUUGGUGUUGUGGAGAACUGAUCAGAGAAUUGCAAAUUUUGAGCCAAAAUAGCUGAGCUGAAACAGUCAGGGAAUGCUUUUUGCAAUUUCUUUCUCAAUUAUCUACAACCCCCGGUUUAGUGAGUACAUACAAGUGUGGAGAGUCUGUUUACUGUGAACGUACAUCCUGCUUGGAAAACGCUCAAGAAAUAGACACAGCAGAGGAGGGUGUAGCAAAUUACUUACACCAGCCUUUCUUUCAUAUAGGAUAUUCAGUGUAAAAGAUCUCCCCAUAUUUUAAUGUAUUAACACCUACUGAUGGGGAUUUGUGAUGGGAUAAAGUUACUAUGUCACCAGUAAAAUGUAUGUGAAAGUUCUUUACUGAGUGCAAAUAUUCUGUUAUGAAUGUGAAUGUAUGUGAAUGCAAACACUGAAAUUGUGCUUGGUCAGUUUGUUUUUUGCUAAAAAGAAUAAUCUUCGUUAGCACCGCAUCUGAGAUUUUUGUUUACAUUUUUUUUAUCAUAAGCUGAUACCCUAAACAGGAGCGCACUGCCUUAAAAGAACUCUCCUGGCACCAUAACAACUUCAUUUAGAUGAGGUUUUUAUGGUCCCUGAAAUGUUCCUUUGAACAUGUAUAUUUUAAUGAAGUGGAGAUGUAAACCCUGCCUGCCCACUUUUGGGGCCAUGCCACAUUGACCUACAUAUUUAAUUAUGGAUUGAAACACAAUACUUUUUCAUUUUAUACUCUGUUGCAUAACUCUGAUGGAACAACGGUAAGAUUUGUGGGAAACUCUGGACAUUUUGAGGAAGGCUGUGCCUGGAACGUACAAGGAAAUAAAAGUCCUGUAGAUUAGUUAUUUAGAAGGUAUUUGUGUCCCAUUCACGCAUGUCCUUGGCAUUGCAGAUUUUGCAUAGACCAUUCAAAAACCAGUGUAUCAAGAGUCCUGUAGGUAUUAGCCAGAUAAUGAGGAAGUCCACUGCCUUUUUAUAAUGUCUCUAGGUGACUGGGUGAGCUUAUCUAUAGCUAUAACUUAUUUAUAGGAAGUGAAACAGUCAUAUUAUCUUUGGAUGCCAGAAGAGCCUUGGUUUUGGCCAAACAAUAUUUUUGUACACUUUUUCCUUUUAAUAUAGUCAAACGAAUUAUAUACUGUUUUCUCUUUUUUGCCCCGGUUUUUCAAAGGUCUCCAUUAUAAAAUGCCUUUAGUGACUGUCUGUCUAACGUCCACUAGAGAUUUCUUCUCUGACAAAUCUAAAUGUUGUUUCUCUAAAUGUUUUACACUGCCAGAGAAAAAAGCACCGGGUGUAAACAUCAAUACUACUCCUUAAGGUGUAAUGGAUUGGGGGUUUAGAAUGUUUAUUUAACUAAUUUUAUGUUCGGUUAUUGCAAUUAAAUCCUGGAUGCAGUCAAAGUUUUGAAAGUAUGCCUUUUCAUUAGAACAAUUCCUAAUUUUACAAGACAUAUGAGAAAAAGAAUAACUGUGCGCGUAGAAAUAUUUGUACUACUAAAAACAAUAUCAGACUUUAUAGAUUGGGCAUUACUUAUUCUAGAUCAGGGGUGCCCAAAAGGUAGAUCCCCAGAUGUUUCAAAACUACAGCUUCCAUGAAGCUUUCUCAUUCUUUAGCAUUUUAAAGGCAUGCAAAGCCACAUGGGAGUUGUAGUUCUAAAACAUCUGGGCAUCUAUUUUUGGGCACCCUGUCCUAGAUUAUAAUUUAAGAAUGUACCCGAAAUCCUGCUUUUAGCAGAAUCUGUAAUAUUAAGCAAUAAUAUUACCAAAAACCUUCCCCCCUGACCUUGAAGUAUGUUUCUUUGCGCACUACAUUAUUGCAGUGUGCAUUGUUUAUAUUUUUUGGGUGUGAUUUUUUUUUUUUGCAUGUGACCAAAAUGUUUAAUACAUUAUACAUGUGUGUGUGAUGGGGAUGUGGUGUUACAUUAUAUUGUUAUUAAGUAACCAGAAUUAGACUUUUUUUAAAUUUUUCACAACGAUGCUAUUUAGAAGAAAUCUUUAGGUAGUUUAAAGCUAUUUAAAUCUUGUUUGUGCUGCUUGGUACAGGGCCAUCAUUUUGUACAACAUUUGGUUUUUACAUACAGCAUGCUGACCAGUUUUAAGGUACCUUUUUUUUUCUAAUCCAAAAACUGCCUACAUUGUAAAAAGUUAAUUUUCUGACCAUGUUUAUCAGUAAGUUGUGACCAUAAAUAAAUAUGUACCAAGUGAAA